GGGAGGGACGGUCAUAGCCCAGAGGAUGGAUGGUGGUGGCCGAGGGAUGGCCACAGCUCGAGGGGUGACCACGCUACUGCCCCCCGCAGCCAGACCAGCCCGGACCCUCUUGGUAUCGCCUUCACCAAAGUUGGACCCAGAGCAAGGACAAGCCGAGUGCAAAGAAACCUCUUGGUUAGCAGAAGUAAGUACUGGAAGAGUAACUGGGAGCAGUCCUGGCAUUCCCUGCUGUAAGAGAAGUUCAACGUCCAGACAGGAAAGCGGAGGCCUGAAUUUAUUGUACCCUGGAGCUCUCCCCAUCGUUAUAAAACAUUUUUAUGUAGCUGCCUUCCUUCUCCAGGAAGAGUGAA